UACGAAGGGUGCAAACGUUGCUCGGAAUUAUUGGGCGUAAAGCGCACGUAGGCGGCUUUUCAAGUCGGAUGUGAAGUCCCUCGGCUUAACCAAGGAAGUGCAUCCGAAACUGGAGAGCUUGAGUACUUAAGAGGAUCGCGGAAUUCCCGGUGUAGAGGUGAAAUUCGUAGAUAUCGGGAGGAACACCAGUGGCGAAGGCGGCGAUCUGGGAAGAUACUGACGCUGAGGUGCGAAAGCGUGGGGAGCAAACAGG
rnacentral:rRNA from 1 species